GAGGGUAUAGCUCGUGUUAGAGCACAUGCUUAGCAUGGAUGAGGUCCUGGGUUCAAUCCCCAAUACCUCCU
rnacentral:tRNA from 1 species